rnacentral:rRNA from 1 species
GACGUAGGGCGCGAGCGUUGUCCGGAUUUAUUGGGCGUAAAGAGCUCGUAGGCGGCUUGUCGCGUCGACUGUGAAAACCCGCAGCUCAACUGUGGGCUUGCAGCCGAUACGGGCAGACUAGAGUGCGGUAGGGGAGACUGGAAUUCCUGGUGUAGCGGUGAAAUGCGCAGAUAUCAGGGGGAACACCGGUGGCGAAGGCGGGUCUCUGGGCCGUAACUGACGCUGAGGAGCGAAAGCGUGGGGAGCGAACAGG